rnacentral:rRNA from 1 species
AUUGAACGCUGGCGGCAGGCCUAACACAUGCAAGUCGAGCGGCAGCACAAGAGAGCUUGCCCCCUGGGGGUCGCGCGGGGCGCGGGUGUGUAAUGUAUGUGAAAAUGCCCGUUGUCGGGGGGUAAAUAGUGGAAACGGUAGCUAUUAUCGCACAUAGUCGCUAGAGCAAAGAGCAGGAGCUUCUGGCACCUUGCCAGCUGAUGUGACCCGAUGGGAUUAGAUAGUAGGUGGGGUAAAGGCUCACCUAGGCGACGAUCCCUAGCUGGUCUGAGAGGAUGACCAGCCACACUGGAACUGAGACACGGUCCAGACUCCUACGGGAGGCAGCAGUGGGGAAUAUUGCACAAUGGGCGCAAGCCUGAUGCAGCCAUGCCGCGUGUGUGAAGAAGGCCUUCGGGUUGUAAAGCACUUUCAGCGAGGAAGAAAAUGGUGAGCUUAAUACGCUCAUGUAUUGACGGUACUCAAAGAAGAAGCACCGGCUAACUCCGUG